GAGGUUUUAGCUUAAUUAAAGCACCUGUUUUGCAUACAGGAGAUGUGGGGUAGAGUCCCGUAAAUCUUA
rnacentral:tRNA from 2 species